CUUAGGGAUAAAGUAUCAUCAUUUUAACCUCCCGCCCCCCUCACACCCACCUGCCCAUUUAACAUCUGACACCACCCUUUGUCUCCUCCCGCCCUCAGCUCCGCUCCUCUUCUUCUGUGGUUAAGGACCGGAUCCUUUGGUCGGAGCAGGAAGUGGAUCCGAGCUCAGUUAAAAAAAGAGUUUAUUAAAGUUUUAUUAAUAACUGCAUUUGGUUUUCUUUGUGUCGUCAUGUUCCUGUAUUAAAAUGCCACACGGGCCAAACGGAACAAUCCUGCUCCCCAGAGGAUUCCCCCCAGCAGCUACGGGUGGACGUCUAUGACAUGCUUUGAAUGGUUCAUGCUCCACUGAGGAUGCAUCGUGAGACCUUUGGCCAUCUGACCUCUGAUCGUGGUCGCUGUUGUUGAGUUCAUUCUGUUCACCUGCUUGUCACAGCUACCUGUCUCCUCUCCUCCCUCCCUUCAGACUUUAAACUCACUCGCUCGCUCGCUGCCAGACCUUCCAGCGCUUCCUUUAGGGCGGACGUCCCGUUGCCGAUCCUGCCUGUCCUGGACUCCCCCGUCUGCUCGCCGGUAACAAUACAUCCGGAUGACGUGUGUCCAUGCGAUGGAGUGAGACGUGUCCCACGAGCCGGUGUCAUAUGGUUUAUGCGGCAUUACUGGAAAUUGAAAAGUCAAUAUGUGGUGCACAGCGUGCAUCCUGCAGUGUGGCAAAGAUCAGCCGGCCGUUUGCACCUCGAAGGUAACCAUUGACCAGCGUUAAGUAGAGGAAGUGGAUUUAUAAAAGGAGGCGGGGGGGUAAGUUGAUUUGUGUAGCAGGAUUGAUUACAGUGCAAUGUCUCUUUCUCUGCUCAACGCAUUAGUGCCCCGAGCUCUUCAAGUGGCUCCGCUUCCAGACGAGCACUCGCGUAUUGAUUUAUCACGUCGUCUCGGCCUAAUUACUGGGGAGGGAGGGAAGCCAACGGAAGGAGCUGCUCUGAAAAACAGAGCUCACCUCACACAGGUUCUGUUUUGGUUCGGUCUCAACUGGUCUGAUGAAACAUUCCCAUCAUUAUCUUUACAUCAACCAUCAGGAAAUAAGACAUCAGAGCCGAGCGAAGCCUCUCCAGGGCCUCACAGCUUCAGGAGUCAAAGCUGCAUUCUCUGUAGGAACCAGCAGGGGGCGACUCGUCUGAGUAAUGUCAAUGCAGCUGAUAAUUCUGCCACUUCAACACCGGCAUAGUUUCUCCUUUUAGUUUUCCGACCUAAUAUUUAUUUUUUAAUUGAUUAUCAUCAGAAAAUACUGAAUGUUGAUACGAAUGCUCAAUAAAAGUCUCUUUGUGGGAUUUGUUGAUUAAAAAGGAAAAAGCAC